rnacentral:rRNA from 1 species
AUACGUAGGGUGCGAGCGUUGUCCGGAAUUACUGGGCGUAAAGAGCUCGUAGGUGGUUUGUCGCGUCGUCUGUGAAAUUCCGGGGCUUAACUCCGGGCGUGCAGGCGAUACGGGCAUAACUUGAGUACUGUAGGGGAGACUGGAAUUCCUGGUGUAGCGGUGAAAUGCGCAGAUAUCAGGAGGAACACCGGUGGCGAAGGCGGGUCUCUGGGCAGUAACUGACGCUGAGGAGCGAAAGCAUGGGUAGCGAACAGGAUUAGAUACCCUGGUAGUCCAUGCCGUAAACGGUGGGCGCUAGGUGUAGGGGUCUUCCACGACUUCUGUGCCGUAGCUAACACAUUAAGCGCCCCGCCAGGGGAGUACGGCCGCAAGGCUAAAACUCAAAGGAAUUGACGGGG